ensembl:snoRNA SNORA70 Small nucleolar RNA SNORA70
CUGCAGCACAUAAGCCGAGCGUACCUCCUUCCCGUGGGGCCAGGGUGCCAUGGCUGCAAACAGCCACCCAUCUUGGUAGUGUCUGCACGCAUCCUGCUGGCGAGCAGACUGCCCUCAGGGACCUGGGAGGCAGCC